rnacentral:rRNA from 1 species
CCUACGGGAGGCUGCAGUCGAGGAUCUUCUGCAAUGGGCGCAAGCCUGACAGAGCGACGCUGCGUGGAGGAUGAAGGCCUUCGGGUUGUAAACUCCUGUCGUCCGGGAACAAAGGUGCGGGGCUAAUAUCCCUUGCAUUUUGAUGGUACCGGAAGAGGAAGCCACGGCUAACUCUGUGCCAGCAGCCGCGGUGAUACAGAGGUGGCUAGCGUUGUUCGGAUUUACUGGGCGUAAAGGGUGCGUAGGCGGUCUUGUGUGUCGGAUGUGAAAUCCCACUGCUUAACGGUGGAACUGCAUUCGAAACUACAAGGCUAGAGUAUGGUAGAGGAGAGUGGAAUUCUCGUUGUAGCGGUAAAAUGCGUAGAUAUCGAGAGGAACACCGGUGGCGGAAGCGACUCUCUAGAACAAUACUGACGCUGAGGCACGAAAGCUAGGGGAGCAAACAGGAUUAGAUACCC